UUACCGAGUUUACAACUCCCAAACCCCUGUGAACAUACCUUAAUGUUGCCUCGGCGGAUCAGCCCGCGCCCCGUAAAACGGGACGGCCCGCCAGAGGACCCAAACUCUAAUGUUUCUUAUUGUAACUUCUGAGUAAAACAAACAAAUAAAUCAAAACUUUCAACAACGGAUCUCUUGGUUCUGGCAUCGAUGAAGAACGCAGCAAAAUGCGAUAAGUAAUGUGAAUUGCAGAAUUCAGUGAAUCAUCGAAUCUUUGAACGCACAUUGCGCCCGCUGGUAUUCCGGCGGGCAUGCCUGUUCGAGCGUCAUUUCAACCCUCAAGCCCUCGGGUUUGGUGUUGGGGAUCGGCUCUGCCUUCUGGCGGUGCCGCCCCCGAAAUACAUUGGCGGUCUCGCUGCAGCCUCCAUUGCGUAGUAGCUAACACCUCGCAACUGGAACGCGGCGCGGCCAUGCCGUAAAACCCCAACUUCUGAAUGUUGACCUCGGAUCAGGUAGGAAUACCCGCUGAACUUAAGCAUAUCAAUAAGCGGAGG
rnacentral:rRNA from 1 species